AAUGAACGCUGGCGGCGUGCCUAAUACAUGCAAGUAGAACGCUGAAGGAGGAGCUUGCUCUUCUGGAUGAGUUGCGAACUGGUGAGUAACGCGUAGGUAACCUGCCUGGUAGCGGGGGAUAACUAUUGGAAACGAUAGCUAAUACCGCAUGACAACAGUUAUUGCAUGAUAACUGUUUAAAAGGGGCAACUGCUCCACUACCAGAUGGACCUGCGUUGUAUUAGCUAGUUGGUGAGGUAACGGCUCACCAAGGCGACGAUACAUAGCCGACCUGAGAGGGUGAUCGGCCACACUGGGACUGAGACACGGCCCAGACUCCUACGGGAGGCAGCAGUAGGGAAUCUUCGGCAAUGGACGGAAGUCUGACCGAGCAACGCCGCGUGAGUGAAGAAGGUUUUCGGAUCGUAAAGCUCUGUUGUAAGAGAAGAACGAGUGUGAGAGUGGAAAGUUCACACUGUGACGGUAUCUUACCAGAAAGGGACGGCUAACUACGUG
rnacentral:rRNA from 1 species